CCUCGCUCCCAGGCUCCUCUCGCUGGCCGCCUGUGGCCCUUUGUCGACUUCGCGUCCUCAAGCCGCCCUCCACAGGGCCAGGCGCGUGAAAGCGAGGAUGCUGCACGCGUGGACGCGCUCGGCCUGCACCCGGGGGCGGGUGGUGCCAGGUGCAGGGCGGCGGCACCCAGGACGGCAGUGAGACGCACACAGCCCUGUGCCAGUCAUCACGUUUAAUCCACACAGCACCCCUGCGAGGACCCCACAAAACCACUCGGCCCCUCUGGAAGCUGGGAGGACGAUGGCACUGUCGGGUGCCGAGAACAGGAGCUGCAGGCCAGCCACGCUUGGCAAAGGCGGCACCAGGUCUCCCUGGGAACGGACAGGAGGAGAGCAGGCAGACACAGGCGCACAUGGGCAGCCCAGGAACCCCCUCCCGGAGUGCAUGCACGGAGAGCUGAGGAAGGCGUGGAUGUCUCCCGCGCUGACCAAGGACGCGGGCUCCGGGCUUUCCUGCUUCACGCCCAGGGCUGCACACAACUGGCUGUAGCUCAGCACCUGGGGGCCCGAGGCAGGGAGUGGAGAGGAGCCCACAGGCCGAUGAGGCCCCCGACACCCAGGUGAGCGGGACAAGGCUCCUCCCUCUGGCCCCCGACACUCAGGCAGAGUGGACAGUGAGAGAGACAGAGAAAGGUCUUCCUUUGCCGUUGGUUCACCCUCCAAUGGCCACCACGGCUGGCGCGCUGCGGCUGGCGCACCGUGCUGAUCCGAAGGCAGGAGCCAGGUGCUUUCCCUGGUCUCCCAUGGGGCGCAGGGCCCAAGCACUUGGGCCAUCCUCCACUGCACUCCCUGGCCACAGCAGAGAGCUGUCCUAGAAGAGGGGCAACUGGGACAGAAUCCGGCGCCCCGACUGGGACUAGAACCCAGUGUGCCAGCGCCGCAAGGCGGAGGAUUAGCCUAUUGAGCUGCGGCGCUGGCCCCCACCCUGUCUUUAGCCUCAACUCACUGACGUGGAGGGGACAACACUUUCAGAGCCAUCCCAGCCAUAACAGGACAUGCUGGGGAAUAGUCUGGCGGUCCCCCCAACAACGGGCAGACGGCUCCCACGUGCCCAGCGUCCCCCCAGCAACGGGCAAAUGGCUCCCACGUGCCCAGCGUCCCCCCAACAACGGGCAGACGGCCUCCACGUGCCCAGUGGUCUCUCCCACUCUCGAGUGCAGUGGAUGGAUGGGUGGGUCACCGAAGGCAAUGUGGCCACACACCGGGAUGUUAUCCAGUCACAUGCCACAACACGGAUGAAGCAACGCAUGAUGGCAAGAGAAAGCAGCCAGACACAGGCCACGGACGGGGACUCCUUGGUAUGGAACGCCGGCAUAGGCAGAUCCAGCGGCAGGAAGAUUGAUUACCAAGGGCCAAGGAAGCCGGAGUGAACCAAGCCUGGGGUUUCUUUCUGGGGGGUUGGGGUGGGGGUGCAUGUGUGUAUGUAUGUGUAUGUGUGUGUGUGUGUGUGUGUGUGUGUGUGUGUGUGUGAGAGAAAAUGUACUAAAAUUCACUGGUGGUGGUUACAGGACUCUGUAUCUUAAAAGCUUACUAUUAGACACUUUUUAAAAGUACGGUUCCUGAAUAAAACCUUCCAGUUUCUCUUUGAA